rnacentral:rRNA from 1 species
UCUGGUGAUGAUGGCGAAGAGGUCACACCCGUUCCCAUGCCGAACACGGAAGUUAAGCUCUUCAGCGCCGAUGGUAGUCGGGGGNAACCACAUUUUGAAUGAUGUCACACCUGUU